rnacentral:miRNA from 1 species
CUGGGAUUACAGGCGUGAGCCACCGCGCCCGGCCAAUCCUGGUAGUCUUUAAGAGAGACCACUGGCCAGGAGCGGUGGCUCACGCCUGUAAUCCCAG